GGUGUAGCUCAGUGGUAGAGUGCUUGCCUAGCAAGUGCAAGGUCCUGGGUUCGAUCCCCAGGACCA
rnacentral:tRNA from 1 species